AGCGUUGAUUGUCGAAUCGAUACCGACGGCCUCGAUCACAAGAUCGGCUCGUUCCUUGUUGUC
rnacentral:sRNA from 1 species